CGAUUAAAAUGGGUCUUGUCAUUAUUUUAUUUAUAUUAAACAGGUAGUGAAAAUUUAAAUACUUUGGAAGCAAGAGGUGGUGUUGGUUGUAGGCGUGGUGGUACAAAAUGGACAAGUUUGUGAAAAGUGAAACUCAAUAGAAAAAUCGUGAAUUUCGGAAGAGAUUUCCUUUGGACGUGUCCCUUGCAGUAACAUCGACAUCAAUUAUUAUUAUUAUUAUUGUCAUAAGGAGAAUGAAGAUGGUAUACUCGUACAGCAUAUUCCCUGUUUUGCUGGAACAGUGCGCUUUUCAUGAUGCAGCGUAUCCAGGAGACAAAUGAAUUCCUUUAAAAAACCCCGCGGUAGGGACCGCGGUUGACUGCAGACGAAAUAACUCUCGUAACAGAAUUUAUUGAGAUACCAAUCCAUUUCAGGAUGCAACAGUAUCCAUUUCUGCAGAUACUAAAGCGACCAUAUCACUGAUUAUCUCAACGUGCUGCAAGCAGCGCCAAAAAGUAUCUAUAAUGGAAUCGUUCAUAUCUCCAGAGGCAAAACAAGUCGUCGAUUAGCUCCGAUCGGUCCGAUUGCCAGAAAGGUUUUCGCCGUACGAGACGCGAGAAGCAACAAGGCUUGCAACUGAGCAGGCAGCAAAAGCCUUGGAGCUGGAAGUGUCCACAUUCUUCUCCAUAACUGUACAACGUCCACAGCCAAAACCACCACAACAAAAACCUAACCAACCAAAUCUAACAAAGCUGACGCUCUAAUAAUUUUGCGCCAAUAUUUUAAGUUGCGCAUGAAGCAGAAGAAGUAAAUCCACUUGAGUAUUGGAAGGAGCAUAAGAAGGGUUCUACAGCCUUAGCAAUGCUGGCAAAAAAGGCCUCAUGCGUGCCAGCAUCUUCUUGCGCUUCAGAGCUAGCAUUCACCAAAGCUGGACAGAUUGUGUCCGAUAGGAGAUGCGCACUAAAACCGAACAAGAAUAGUGAUCUUAAAUAAAAAACUUGUUGUUAUA